GGGGCUUUUACUUUUUGGAGCGUUUUAGUAACUUUGAGUCCAAAUCGUAGGCUUGUGUGGUGCACACGAGUCACACCACCAAUACGUCUUGGGACUUGCCCUUGCUCCUCUUUUCUUUCUCCUCCUCCUCCUCCUCUUCUUCUUCUUCUUCUUUUUUAUUACGAACGGAUGGCCACAUCAGUCUAGUGUGAAAGUAGUUCAAAAGAUCAAGAU
rnacentral:lncRNA from 1 species